AUCGAGGCUAGAGUCACGCCCUGAUACAUCCUGUUGUCCUGGUGUGCUAGAGUUCUCGUAAAGUGAAGUCUUUGUUUAUUCAUUGGCUGUAGUCUCUCUGUGGCCCAGUCAAUCACCGACUCAGAAACAGAC
ensembl:snoRNA Small nucleolar RNA SNORA3/SNORA45 family